AAGCCAUGAUGAGGGAAUUGGUUGGUAUAGCCCUUGAAACGCUCCCAUGCUUGACAAAAGCUUUCACCAGUCUUCUGUAAAAAGCCCGAGAUCUCAUUUCUGAGUCU